GCAUCGGUGGGGUAUUGGGAACCUACGGCCAGUCUAUGAUACGAGUGUAGGCAAGCGUUUCGCCGAGCACGGGGUUCGACUCCCCGCCGAUGCA